rnacentral:tRNA from 1 species
GUCGGCGUGGCGGAACUGGCAGACGCACAGGACUUAAAAUCCUGCGGGACUUACCUCCCGUACCGGUUCGAUUCCGGUCGCCGGCA